ensembl:lncRNA
GACUGCAUUGCAGGCAACAUUCUCAGGAAGCAAGAGCUAAGAGAGUGGAACGAACCCAACCCUACAGAGAAGUCCAUGAACCUGCUGGUGCCGUGCCCCCCCCCUCUUCUGCUUCCCCGGAACGUGGGUCUAACCGGGAAGGUCGUCCAGCGGAAAGCUCGUUUCCAGGGCCAGGCUGAGGCACAGGGGCAUCCCACGAAGAGGCAGCAGUGCCGCCCCAAGGAGUCGGCAAAGAUUCCUUUGCCUCCGAGCCACGCAGCAGCCAAGGAGCAAGAGCGUCCCACGGCUAGCGCAGCGCCUCCUGGCCCGGCCAGCACGUCGCUGCUAAAGGACGCCAGCUGUCAAACGGACUCUGCAGGCCUGCGUGUGGGUGACAUCAAAGCCAGGAGCCAGCGCCUCAGCGCAGCGCUUGCUAUCAUCUCCAAGCUGCAGCUCAGUCAGGCGGCUUUUGGGAAGCUCUCCAUGCACAUGGCCAGAAAAUGCCUGGAGGUAAAGCUUCAACGCUUCCCUGCGGUGGUGCGGAGGUCCAUGCAGAAGCAGCGUGGGGCGCCCCUUGCCUGCCCAGCUGGCACCAGAGCACCGAGAUCCCAGACGGUUCGUAGAUACUUCCCCAGCCGUCAGGCUCUGUUCCUGAAUGAGGAGCAGCGCGAGUGCCUGGAGCUGCACAUCCGCUCCAUGAAGCUGGAGCGCCUUGGGAACCGCCUCAUCUCAGGCAGUCCAUUGAAGCCAGCAGUGUCCCAGGAGGAAGAAUCUGCCAGCACGUAUGUGACCGCACCAUCCGAGGCAUCUUGGGCUGAGGCAAGCCCCAAAGGCCACA